rnacentral:rRNA from 1 species
CUACGUGCCAGCAGCCGCGGUAAUACGUAGGGUGCGAGCGUUAAUCGGAAUUACUGGGCGUAAAGCGGGCGCAGACGGUUACUUAAGCAGGAUGUGAAAUCCCCGGGCUCAACCUGGGAACUGCGUUCUGAACUGGGUAACUAGAGUGUGUCAGAGGGAGGUAGAAUUCCACGUGUAGCAGUGAAAUGCGUAGAGAUGUGGAGGAAUACCGAUGGCGAAGGCAGCCUCCUGGGAUAACACUGACGUUCAUGCCCGAAAGCGUGGGUAGCAAACAGGAUUAGAUACCCUGGUAGUCCACGCUGUAAACGAUGUCGAUUUGGGGGUUGAGCUUUGAGCUUGGCGCCCGUAGCUAACGCGAUAAAUCGACCGCCUGGGGAGUACGGCCGCAAGGUUAAAACUCAAAUGAAUUGACGGGGGCCCGCACAAGCGGUGGAACAUGUGGUUUAAUUCGAUGAUACGCGAGGAACCUUACCCGGGCUUGAA